AUGAACGCUGGCGGCGUGCCUAAUACAUGCAAGUCGAGCGAACAGACGAGGAGCUUGCUCCUCUGACGUUAGCGGCGGACGGGUGAGUAACACGUGGAUAACCUACCUAUAAGACUUGGAUAACUUCGGGAAACCGGAGCUAAUACCGGAUAAUAUAUUGAACCGCAUGGUUCAAUAGUGAAAGACGGUUUUGCUGUCACUUAUAGAUGGAUCCGCGCCGCAUUAGCUAGUUGGUAAGGUAACGGCUUACCAAGGCAACGAUGCGUAGCCGACCUGAGAGGGUGAUCGGCCACACUGGAACUGAGACACGGUCCAGACUCCUACGGGGGGCAGCAGUAGGGAAUCUUCCGCAAUGGGCGAAAGCCUGACGGAGCAACGCCGCGUGAGUGAUGAAGGUCUUCGGAUCGUAAAACUCUGUUAUUAGGGAAGAACAAAUGUGUAAGUAACUAUGCACGUCUUGACGGUACCUAAUCAGAAAGCCACGGCUAACUACGUG
rnacentral:rRNA from 1 species